rfam:Ruminococcaceae bacterium strain KHP2 genome assembly, contig: Ga0059115_103
CGUAGUAACAACGAACUGUGAGAAGUCAGCAGAAGCCAUAGUACCGAGUAAUCGGGAAGGGU